CCUACGUGAGGCAGCAGUGGGGAAUAUUGCACAAUGGGCGAAACCCUGAUGCAGCGACGCCGCGUGAGUGAAGAAGUAUCUCGGUACGUAACGCUCUAUCAGCAGGGAAGAAAAUGACGGUACCUGACCACGAAGCCACGGCUACCUACGUGCCAGCAUCCGCUGUAAUACGGCGGGCGCAGGCGUUCACCGGAUUUCCUGGGGGUAAAGGGAGCGUAGACGGGAUCACAAGUCUGGAGUGAAAUCCCUGGGGUUAACCCCGGAAGUGCUUUGGAAACUGUGCGGCUGGAGUGUAGGAGAGGUAAGCGGAAUUCCGAGUGUAGCGGUGAAAUGCGUAGAUAUUAGGAGGAACACCGGUGGCGAAGGCGGCUUACUGGACUGUAACUGACGUUGAUGCUCGAAAGUGUGGGUAUCAAACAGGAUUAGAUACCCGAGUAGUC
rnacentral:rRNA from 1 species